GCUCCGGUGGACUAGUGGUUAGAGCGUCCGCCUCGGAUGCGGGAGGUCGUGGGUUCGAACCCCCGGUCGAGUC